CCCAACUAGUAUUAUUGCCAGGGUCUCGCCGUCCACGGAGAUCCAAAAGCAAAUGAUAUUGAAAAUGAAAAAUGUCUCUUCAAUAUAGGCCUUGAAAGGUUCCGCCUUGCUUGUAGAAUUCGUCUUUUUUACAUGUUCAAGUUUAAGGGGAGAUGUGCGGAAAACAUUUUCCGGAAAAUGUUUUCUUGAUUUUACGGUGUCUGGAAGCAUGAAAACAUUUUACAAAUGUAAAAUAUUUUUCUAGAGACGGGUAAAAUCUCAGUCAUUUUAGGGAAAAUGUCUUACGGAUUUUUUUUUCCAUCUCCUUCUUCGUCCAGGUUUGGGCAGCUCGUGUUGCUGUUGCUAUACUGAAGAAACUCAACUCAAAGAAUGGAUUAGAAAACGGAGGGAUCAAUUCCACAUUACAGAAAGCGGAACCUCAAAUGGUUGAAGCUGUAGUGCUAGCUUCCCUGGAAAAGUUCUUUAAAUCCGUUCUAAAUAUGCCGGAAGUGGAAAGAAAGUUUAGAGCGGUGGUUGAUGCAGCUUUGGAGGCCCAUCCGCACUGUCCGCAGCUAUAUCUUUAUAGCACAGCUAAUAAGGUUGUUCCGUAUAGCACUGUCCCCCUUCCUCUGCUGUCAAAUCCCCAACAGAUGUGAUUUGCAGCUCUUCCCUUUAGCAUUGAUGACCAGCUCAACGCUCGACAUUGCACGUUCUAUACGGUGGCCAUAGGCUGUUUCAGUUACUAGCCAACGACUGGUUUUAGUUUUAAAGUUAUUUGGUGCUAGCAAUGCUUGCAUUGCAUUGAGUUACUGAUGACAAACAUUUGAAAUAACAUGCAUUAAGACGCAUAGAUUUUUGUGCUUUGACAGCAAA